CAUGCAAGUCGAACGAUGAUGCCCAGCUUGCUGGGCGGAUUAGUGGCGAACGGGUGAGUAAUACGUGAGUAACCUGCCCUUGACUCUGGGAUAAGCCUGGGAAACUGGGUCUAAUACUGGAUACUACCUCUUGCCGCAUGGUGGGUGGUGGAAAGGGUUUUACUGGUUUUGGAUGGGCUCACGGCCUAUCAGCUUGUUGGUGGGGUAAUGGCUCACCAAGGCGACGACGGGUAGCCGGCCUGAGAGGGUGACCGGCCACACUGGGACUGAGACACGGCCCAGACUCCUACGGGAGGCAGCAGUGGGGAAUAUUGCACAAUGGGCGGAAGCCUGAUGCAGCGACGCCGCGUGAGGGAUGACGGCCUUCGGGUUGUAAACCUCUUUCAGUAGGGAAGAAGCGAGAGUGACGGUACCUGCAGAAGAAGCGCCGGCUAACUACGUGCCAGCAGCCGCGGUAAUACGUAGGGCGCAAGCGUUGUCCGGAAUUAUUGGGCGUAAAGAGCUCGUAGGCGGUUUGUCGCGUCUGCUGUGAAAGCCCGGGGCUCAACCCCGGGUCUGCAGUGGGUACGGGCAGACUAGAGUGCAGUAGGGGAGACUGGAAUUCCUGGUGUAGCGGUGAAAUGCGCAGAUAUCAGGAGGAACACCGAUGGCGAAGGCAGGUCUCUGGGCUGUUACUGACGCUGAGGAGCGAAAGCAUGGGGAGCGAACAGGAUUAGAUACCCUGGUAGUCCAUGCCGUAAACGUUGGGCACUAGGUGUGGGGGACAUUCCACGUUUUCCGCGCCGUAGCUAACGCAUUAAGUGCCCCGCCUGGGGAGUACGGCCGCAAGGCUAAAACUCAAAGGAAUUGACGGGGGCCCGCACAAGCGGCGGAGCAUGCGGAUUAAUUCGAUGCAACGCGAAGAACCUUACCAAGGCUUGACAUUCACCGGACCGCCCCAGAGAUGGGGUUUCCCUUCGGGGCUGGUGGACAGGUGGUGCAUGGUUGUCGUCAGCUCGUGUCGUGAGAUGUUGGGUUAAGUCCCGCAACGAGCGCAACCCUCGUUCUAUGUUGCCAGCACGUGAUGGUGGGGACUCAUAGGAGACUGCCGGGGUCAACUCGGAGGAAGGUGGGGAUGACGUCAAAUCAUCAUGCCCCUUAUGUCUUGGGCUUCACGCAUGCUACAAUGGCCGGUACAAAGGGUUGCGAUACUGUGAGGUGGAGCUAAUCCCAAAAAGCCGGUCUCAGUUCGGAUUGAGGUCUGCAACUCGACCUCAUGAAGUCGGAGUCGCUAGUAAUCGCAGAUCAGCAACGCUGCGGUGAAUACGUUCCCGGGCCUUGUACACACCGCCCGUCAAGUCACGAAAGUUGGUAACACCCGAAGCCGGUGGCCUAACCCCUUGUGGGAGG
rnacentral:rRNA from 1 species